rnacentral:rRNA from 1 species
UACGUAGGGGGCAAGCGUUGUCCGGAAUCAUUGGGCGUAAAGCGCGCGUAGGCGGACCUGCAAGUCGGGGGUGAAAGCCCGAGGCUCAACCUCGGAACUGCCUUCGAUACUGCGGGUCUCGAGUCCGGGAGAGGUGAGUGGAAUUCCUAGUGUAGAGGUGAAAUUCGUAGAUAUUAGGAAGAACACCAGUGGCGAAGACGGCUCACUGGCC